rnacentral:rRNA from 1 species
AACGCUGGCGGCAGGCCUAACACAUGCAAGUCGAACGGUAACAGGAAGCAGCUGCUGCUUGCUGACGAGUGGCGGACGGGUGAGUAAUGUCUGGGAAACUGCCCGAUGGAGGGGGAUAACUACUGGAAACGGUAGCUAAUACCGCGUAAUGUCGCAAGACCAAAGAGGGGGACCUUCGGGCCUCUUGCCAUCGGAUGUGCCCAGAUGGGAUUAGCUAGUUGGUGAGGUAACGGCUCACCAAGGCGACGAUCCCUAGCUGGUCUGAGAGGAUGACCAGCCACACUGGAACUGAGACACGGUCCAGACUCCUACGGGAGGCAGCAGUGGGGAAUAUUGCACAAUGGGCGCAAGCCUGAUGCAGCCAUGCCGCGUGUAUGGAGAAGGCCUUCGGGUUGUAAAGUACUUCAGCGGGGAGGAAGGGGUUAAGGUUAAUAACCUUAGCCAUUGACGUUACCCGCAGAAGAAGCACCGGCUAACUCCGUGCCAGCCGCCGC